GGAGGAGGAGGAGGAGGAGGAGGAGGUGACGAGCUCAGGCUGCUCCCAUGCAUGCGGGCUGGCUUGGAGCGCACGGAUCAGCCGAGCUGUAGCGCCUACUGCCAAAACACUUUCUUGGCCGCUGAUUUUUCUCCCGUUUUUUUUUUCUCUUUCUUUACGUGGCCUGAUAGGAGCUAUUUAAAUCAGCCACGCAGCGAACCAGACGUGUCUCCCCACACUGCGCUGCGCUCUCCUUCCUGCGCCUCAAGUGACCGGAGAGGCGCAAAACUCUUCACCAAGCGGUGUCCGGUUUUUUUUUUUUUUUUUCUUUUUUCUCAGACACUGGAUGGAAUGAAAUAAAGUACUUGUUUUCUUUACAGGCAAAUCCUCAGAGUGGAACGCGUGCCUUCACGGCGGUGAAAAUAAUGGAUAAAAGAUUCUUGUAGAGGGAAUGGAAGAACAAGGGAGGGUAACAAGGGUUGGCGCAGUGAUUUGCAAGAUCAUUCAUUGAUCCGGUGCGUUUGACCUCAACUGGAACCAGCAGUCUGCCAGGGUAUGAGACCAUAUGCACGCAAACACACACACACACACACUUAGGUGCAAAGAAACACACUCUUCUUUCAAACGCAUACAACGCAUUAGUCUUUGCUAAGUAGAUGUUUCAGUCAUCUGCGCUCGCCAUCCCUCGCUACACCACUUUCACGUCACCCAUCAGUUAGUCUCUGACACACACACUCCCCAUCACCCAUCAGUUCGUCCGGCAGACACCCAAAUGUACAUCUUCACACUCAUGCGGAGCCCAACAUUUUUACAUCACACAUCAGAUUACCCCACAUUCACACACAC